AGAGUUUGAUCCUGGCUCAGGAUGAACGCUGGCGGCGUGCUUAACACAUGCAAGUCGAACGAGAGAAGAUCGGUGCUUGCACUGAUCCGAUCGAGUGGCGGACGGGUGAGUAACGCGUGGGUAACCUGCCUCAUACAGGGGAAUAACAGUUGGAAACGGCUGCUAAAACCGCAUAAGCGCACAGUAUCGCAUGAUACAGUGUGAAAAACUCCGGUGGUAUGAGAUGGACCCGCGUCUGAUUAGCUAGUUGGUGAGGUAACGGCCCACCAAGGCGACGAUCAGUAGCCGGCCUGAGAGGGUGAACGGCCACAUUGGGACUGAGACACGGCCCAAACUCCUACGGGAGGCUGCAGUAGGGAAUUUUCGGCAAUGGGGGAAACCCUGAUGCAGCAACGCCGCGUGAGUGAUGACGGCCUUCGGGUUGUAAAGCUCUGUCUUCAGGGACGAUAAUGACGGUACCUGAGGAGGAAGCCACGGCUAACUACGUGCCAGCAGCCGCGGUAAUACGUAGGUGGCGAGCGUUGUCCGGAUUUACUGGGCGUAAAGGGAGCGUAGGCGGACUUUUAAGUGAGAUGUGAAAUACCCGGGCUCAACUUGGGUGCUGCAUUUCAAACUGGAAGUCUAGAGUGCAGGAGAGGAGAAUGGAAUUCCUAGUGUAGCGGUGAAAUGCGUAGAUAUUAGGAAGAACACCAGUGGCGAAGGCGACUUUCUGGACGAAAACUGACGCUGAGGCGCGAAAGCCAGGGGAGCGAACGGGAUUAGAUACCCCGGUAGUCCUGGCCGUAAACGGUGGAUGCUGGAUGUGGGGCCGUUGUGCCCUUCAGUGCCGCAGCUAACGCAUUAAGCAUUCCGCCUGGGGAGUACGACCGCAAGGUUGAAACUCAAAGGAAUUGACGGGGGCCCGCACAAGCGGUGGAGUAUGUGGUUUAAUUCGAAGCAACGCGAAGAACCUUACCAGGUCUUGACAUACUCAUAAAUGUUCCAGAGAUGGAAAUUUCCCUUCGGGGACAAUGGAUACAGGUGGUGCAUGGUUGUCGUCAGCUCGUGUCGUGAGAUGUUGGGUUAAGUCCCGCAACGAGCGCAACCCCUGUCGUUAGUUGCCAGCAUUCAGUUGGGGACUCUAACGAGACUGCCAGUGACAAACUGGAGGAAGGUGGGGAUGACGUCAAAUCAUCAUGCCCCUUAUGACCUGGGCUACACACGUGCUACAAUGGUUGGUACAAAGAGAAGCGAAGCGGUGACGUGGAGCAAACCUCAUAAAGCCAAUCUCAGUUCGGAUUGUAGGCUGCAACUCGCCUACAUGAAGUUGGAAUCGCUAGUAAUCGCGAAUCAGCAUGUCGCGGUGAAUACGUUCCCGGGCCUUGCACACACCGCCCGUCA
rnacentral:rRNA from 1 species